rnacentral:rRNA from 1 species
AUUGAACGCUGGCGGCAUGCCUUACACGUGCAAGUCGAACGGCAGCACGGGAGCAAUCCUGGUGGCGAGUGGCGAACGGGUGAGUAAAGUAUCGGAACGUGCCCAGUCGUGGGGGAUAACGUAGCGAAAGUUACGCUAAUACCGCAUACGAUCUAUGGAUGAAAGCGGGGGAUCGCAAGACCUCGCGCGAUUGGAGCGGCCGAUAUCAGAUUAGGUAGUUGGUGGGGUAAAGGCUCACCAAGCCGACGAUCUGUAGCUGGUCUGAGAGGACGACCAGCCACACUGGGACUGAGACACGGCCCAGACUCCUACGGGAGGCAGCAGUGGGGAAUUUUGGACAACGGGCGAAAGCCUGAUCCAGCCAUGCCGCGUGCAGGAUGAAGGCCUUCGGGUUGUAAACUGCUUUUGUACGGAACGAAAAGGUUUGGCCUAAUAAGCUGAGCUCAUGACGGUACCGUAAGAAUAAGCACCGGCUAACUACGUGCCAGCAGCCGCCGUAACAC